rnacentral:lncRNA from 1 species
UUUGUCAGCCAGCUCUGGGAGAUGCUGCUGGUAAAAAGAGGGGGGAAACCUUCUCUCAUUUUUUUGGCAAUAUAUGCUAUGAUAGCACAUGCCUGGCAUGUUGAGAACAAUGGCCCUUUGUUCUGCCCUAUUCUAGAACAAUAGAUCUGAAGAAAGAAAAACGUGCAGUCUAGAUCAAGAGCUUCUCAUCAGCCCUCCCUCACUCCUACCCACACUGAAAAAGAUAUAAGUAGCCAUAUUGGGGGUAAUGGAAAAGAAGAAGUGAAAGGACAAGGAAAACGCAGGGAACAGAGGUGGGCGGGGGGAUGUAAUCCAAGCUACUUUGUGCUUCAUAGAAGAUUGGGGAAAUUGUAGCGGGGAUGUGAGCAACCCUCAGAAAUAAACCACAACAAAAUAAUGUUCGUGCAUUCUUUGACAUUGAUUGUUCAUGAAGAGAAUUUCCAGCUCAACAAUCAGGACUGCUGCUUGAAAGAUUUCUUUUCCUCCCUGUCAUGCAGAUGAAUAUAUUUUCCAAGUGAAGACAUAAGCAAAAGUAGUUUCAGAAGUCUGGUGGAAUUGCGAAGGAAAUUCUACACAACAAAUGUCAAAAACUGAAAUGUCAAGUCCAGUGUCAUGUAUGCAGGAGCUUUGUGCUGUGAGAGCUCAGCAGAUCCUCCGAAAGCUGCUAGCAGUUGAUCUUUGGAUAGAGCUAGAAAUAAAUAAAUCCUCUUUAGCAGAUCAAUAUUCAUCCCAUUUAAUGCUUGAUGUGAAACUUGUGGAUUUGUGGUGGUAAUACUGAUGUACAGCUAAUCGUUGAAAAUGGGCAUUAGGGCUUUUAUAGCAUGGCAACAUAUUGUCAGACAGGAAGGAAAAGAAGUGGUGAGUGCAGCCAGAAAAAAAAAAAUAUGUGUGUCUGUGUAACUUUACUGCACAUUUGGAAUCCAUGCUACUAUCUUUACAAUGGGAC